UACGAAGGGGGCUAGCGUUGCUCGGAAUCACUGGGCGUAAAGCGCACGUAGGCGGCUCUUUAAGUCAGGGGUGAAAUCCUGGAGCUCAACUCCAGAACUGCCCUUGAUACUGAGGAGCUUGAGUCCGGGAGAGGUGAGUGGAACUGCGAGUGUAGAGGUGGAAUUCGUAGAUAUUCGCAAGAACACCAGUGGCGAAGGCGGCUCACUGGCCCGGUACUGACGCUGAGGUGCGAAAGCGUGGGGAGCAAACAGGG
rnacentral:rRNA from 1 species